UACGUAGGGGCCAAGCGUUGUCCGGAUUUAUUGGGCGUAAAGAGCUCGUAGGCGGUUGGGAAAGUCGGGCGUGAAAACUCCAGGCUCAACUUGGAGACGCCACCCGAUACUGCUCUGACUUGAGUUCGGUAGGGGAGUGGGGAAUUCCUGGUGUAGCGGUGAAAUGCGCAGAUAUCAGGAGGAACACCGGUGGCGAAGGCGCCACUCUGGGCCGAAACUGACGCUGAGGAGCGAAAGCGUGGGUAGCAAACAGG
rnacentral:rRNA from 1 species